UACGUAGGGUGCGAGCGUUGUCCGGAAUUAUUGGGCGUAAAGGGCUCGUAGGCGGUUUGUCACGUCGGGAGUGAAAACUCGGGGCUUAACUCCGAGCCUGCUUCCGAUACGGGCUGACUAGAGGUAUGCAGGGGAGAACGGAAUUCCUGGUGUAGCGGUGAAAUGCGCAGAUAUCAGGAAGAACACCGGUGGCGAAGGCGGCUCUCUGGGCCUUACCUGACGCUGAGGAGCGAAAGCGUGGGUAGCGAACAGG
rnacentral:rRNA from 1 species